rnacentral:tRNA from 1 species
GGAGAUGUAGCUCAAUGGUAGAGCGCUUUCCCAGCAUGCACGAGGCCCUGGGUUCAAUCCCUAGUACCACCA